UCCGGUUUGGCACCGGCAGUCACUUACAUGUCAAACCCAGGUAAGGUUCUUCGCGUUGCGUCGAAUUAAGCAACAUGCUCCGCCGCUUGUGCGGGCCCCCGUCAAUUCCUUUGAGUUUUAGCCUUGCGGCCGUACUCCCCAGGCGGGGCGCUUAAUGCGUUAGCUGCGGCACGGAAGGAGUCGAUGACCUCCCACACCUAGCGCCCAUCGUUUACGGCGUGGACUAC
rnacentral:misc_RNA from 1 species